GAUGAACGCUGGCGGCGUGCUUAACACAUGCAAGUCGAACGGUGAAGCAGAGCUUGCUCUGUGGAUCCGUGGCGAACGGGUGAGUAACACGUGAGCAAUCUGCCCCUGACUCUGGGAUAAGCGCUGGAAACGGCGUCUAAUACCGGAUACGAGCUGCGAAGGCAUCUUCUGCAGCUGGAAAGAAUUUCGGUCAGGGAUGAGCUCGCGGCCUAUCAGCUUGUUGGUGAGGUAACGGCUCACCAAGGCGUCGAGGGGUAGCCGGCCUGAGAGGGUGACCGGCCACACUGGGACUGAGACACGGCCCAGACUCCGACGGGAGGCAGCAGUGGGGAAUAUUGCACAAUGGGCGAAAGCCUGAUGCAGCAACGCCGCGGGAGGGACGACGGCCUUCGGGUUGUAAACCUCUUUUAGCAGGAAAGAAGCGAAAGUGACGGUACCUGCAGAAAAAGCGCCGGCUAACUACGUGCCAGCCGCCGCCGUAAUAC
rnacentral:rRNA from 1 species